CCGACCAAAUGAGCUGAAUGAAGUAGUUGUGAGUCAAAAAAAUGUGUCAGCUCGAGCAUUCUCUACUCUUGGAAUAUGAGAGAUCUCAAAAUAUUUUAGAGUUGAUAUAAGAUCUUUCACUUUUUGAAAGUACUUCAUCAUAAUGAGUUCUUAAACUUUAAACUCAUCCUUAACUUAUCCGGUAAUCAAUUGUGAGUCGGUGAAGAUCUUCAAGUUAUCAAUGUCAAGUUUUUUGACAAUCUACAAGUCGGCUAAAAGAGUUUCAUAUUUGGUUUGAUUAUUUAAAGCUUUAAAAUUAAACCAAAAGACAUAUUCAGUUACGAUCUCUAUGGAGUUGGUGAGGAUGAGACCAGCUCCACUACCUUGUGCAUUGGAUGCUGCAUCAAUAUGUAGCACCCACACCGAUGCUAAGUCGGUCUCAGGAAUUUCAAUUUGUUUCAAUUUGUCGUCGAGUUCAUUCUCAAGAUUAUCGUCAGAUACGGUGCACUCAGCGAUAAAGUCGGCCUAAACUUGUGUCUUCAUUGACGGUCAUAGGCAAUAUUGAAUAUCAAACUCACUGAGUUUUAUUUCUCAUUUCACCA
rnacentral:lncRNA from 1 species